GUAAGCGACAUGACACACAUGCAGAAUUAUGGGCAAACGUUCGACAUGACUGGCAAUACAAAUUUUGAUAACUACAUUCCCAAAAGUGAUCGCAUGCACAGCAUACCAUGAAUAGUAAUCUAUGUGCAUAGCAGGCCGUCGCAAUACCUUUAAGGGCAGUCAUUGGGCCAACAAGUCUAAUUUGCUUGAAAAAUGAAAGCCACAAAAAGUGAAAGAAGAAAAUUGUUGCUAUGCCACAAAUUGAAAAGUAGUAGGAUCAACACGUGGGUUAGCGCACGUUAACGGCAAAUUCGAUUCGAAAAAUUUCCAUGGAAUAUCGUUUGAAGUGCCAUACGCCGCACACAGGCGUACAACCAGCAGCGUUGGCCAAUCAAACAGCUUGACCUCAGCGGAUCAAAAGCAAUUGUUAAAACUGGAAUGUGUUGGCCUAGGAGCUAGGAGCACAUACACACAUAUACAUAUUGAUGUCUGAUCAUACAUAUAUGUACAAUACAUACGACCAGUUCGUUUUCCGUUAACUGACUGGUCGCUUUCUUGGAAGUUCUAUGCAUCAAUGCCGGAAAAGCCCUCACAAGAUGCAAUAUUUGCUUCUUAGAAUUUUACCGUCUGAUCGGUUGCCUUUAGUUAAUCGAUGAUAAGUAUGUGACACAGAUAAGUGCGGGUGUGUGUGUGUGCACACAGGAUUUCAUUACAAAAGUCCCCUAAGCAUGAACAACAACACCAAUAAAAACAAGCUGAAUAGUUUCAAAUGAAAUGAAUUAAAUGUUAAGCGCUACAAAAAAAUAAAAAAUAACUCGCUCCAAGAAGAAGAAGAAGCAAUUCAUUAAUAAAUAGUUGGCGAGUGCUGCCAGAGGCGAAGGUAUGCGCUGCAACCGGCUCGCAAUCUCGUGUAGUGCAGCACACACAUACACGUACGACUUGGUCAAUUCAAUUCGUUGCAUUCGAAUAAUUUUCCAAAGCAAAAAAUGAGGAAAGAUACAAAAAAAGUGUGAAUGGAAGCCCCGGAGCUGCUGGUGUGUUAACAGGUUUCGACGAAGUCACCGGCGGCAUGCACACACUCUCAUAUACUUAUACAUAUGCACAUACUUACAUACAGACAUAGGCACCUACAUACAUACAAACUUAUGUAUGUGAGUGCAUUUGUUCUGCCGUUUGCCGGCGGCUCAUUGCUUGUUGCUAUGCGCACAAAUUGCCGCCAUCGUGGCCACCUGGAGAUAGCCCACUGCACCGCCAGCUAGCGGCCGCAUGAAAUGUGAAUAUAACGACUCAUAUAGUACAUAUGGACGUAUGCAUGUAUAUAUGCAUGUGUGUGUAGGCUUUUGGCAACAGCACGUUGAUGUAGUUAGCCUCAUUGGCGAUCCGUUCACCGGCGGCUCUUGUGUGCCUGCAUGCCGACAUGCAUUUCUUCACGUCAUCCUGGCCGCUGUGGCUGACCGUCGGCAGUCGAUUUGGAGUCAUUUGUCAUGUAUAGAUUUGGAUUAGCUUAGAUCGGCUCAAGCGUUAUAACGGCCUUAAGCUGGCAUCAGUAAAUUGCUUAUCUACUUGUAUACUUACACAUACACACACACAGAUACAUACACUUGUCUGCUUGAAGUAAUUUCUUUCUAAGAACAUUCGUGUUGCGGCAAAUUCUGCGAAAUAAAGUUGAAAGAUGAAUGAAGUACAGCAGAAUUCAGAAUUUUUAAAUGGAACAUUUUCAUAUAAAUUAUGCUCGUAACAUAAUUCCAUUAUAGGACAUCUAUGGCUUCUCAUUCAUUAUUUUCAAGUUUUUGGCUCAGGAGUGGACACUAAAGGAAAGGAAAAUCAGAAGACUUAAGCAAGAAACCUUUCGAAUAAAAGAAAUGAUUGCACUUACUUUUAUCAAAAUGACAAAAAAAUUUCAAUUUUAAGAGAAAACGAUUUUGUUAUUUACUGAAAAAAAAUUAAAAACAUAUAAAAAAAAAAUUUUUUGUGCGUAAUAUUAUUUUUUGCUAAUUAUUUAAAUAAAAUAUAUUAAACUAAUUAAAC